CCCGUUGUCAUUGGGGAGUAGCCAUCGUUCAGCACGAUGUUGAACGAGUUCACGUCAACAAACUUGAAGCCGCUUGCUUCAUGGCGUGAUCAGUAUCCAGCACCUUGCUGGAUGGCCCGGCGAGACCUUUGGCCACGACGCGUUUGCCUGCCGGGCAAGCCGCGUCGUUGCGCCAUUGGUUAUCUGCUUGCCCGGCCCAUACU
rnacentral:sRNA from 2 species